UGGCACCAUGGUCAGCAAACCAGUCUCUGGUUGUUUUGGUAUUGUGGGCAGGUGCCAGGUCCUGCUGGAAACGGAAAUCUUUGGGCUCUAUUUUCGUACCUCGCCGAUGACGCAACGCAUGUGCAGCGUAAGUCAGGUCCACCGCGCCGACAAGGCGUUCCCAAGCUCAAUUUGGUAUUUUGGUGAGCGGCGCAGCCCGGCAUAAGUAUCCCCCCUCCCUAACUCAGCUCCUCCCAGCGGCGUAAGUCGUAGGGAGGGAGGACAGAGGGCGUGGAGUGGGUUUAACACAGCCGAGACCUGUAUUGACCAAUAACAUCAGCUCCUCUCCUCGCCUUUAAAUCCGCCACCGGCGAGGCGUAUUACUAUUUUCGUGAAGUAGUCAAAGAGAUCAAGAGAUGGCUGGAGACAGUAAUGCCACACGAUGGCGACAGAAGGCAGCCCCUCAACAAGUGUCACUGUAAGCACUUCAGAGGGCAUCCUUCACACUCUCUCAUAUGGGCACAGAUGGAUUUGGUGUGUGUAAGUUUGGACCCACUAGUAAGACAAACACCCUUUCCACAAAUAAAGACACUCACAUAAAGUUGCAUAUAUUCAAACCCCGUAUUCAAACACCAAGUUCUCCUGUGCCUGAUUAGCGUUUUGGGUAUGUUGGCUUUGAAAGAGAUAAAAUUACAAUCAAACCCAGGCAUGAGUGAUUCUGAUAGCAACAAUGACAUGGGAAUGCAAUAAUAAAAAGGUCUUCAAAUGAUGAUUCUGGUGGAUAAAGUAGUCCUAAACCUUUGUCACAAUUUCAAAACUCAAGUCUUUAUUGAGAAAACAUGAUGAAGCAUUAUCUCUUCAAAAUACCAGGCAGUCAGGGGAAUAGUGGACAUGUUGCUGGUUUUAGCCUUGUUCUUUUUUGUAUUUACCUCUCAUAAAUGGUAAAACCAGUGAGGUUGUACUUUUCAAAAAUAAUGACUCAUGCACCACUUCCCUUGUCAGCACACUCCUUUGAAGAACUGGUGACAGGGGGCUGCCUUUGAGAUCUUAAGGUUGAAACCUGACAGCACCUAAAACACAAAAGAUCAGAACCAAAGCAAGGUUUAUUACACAUCCUUCAAAAUCCAGUGGCGUUGAUUAUGGCGUGAUCUAAUCAAGGUGAGAAAAUAUCCCGAAACAUAGGGUGGCAGAGCCUCACCCUGUGGUGGAGGUCCUCAUUAAAAACUAAACUUGUGUUUCAUCUGCUGCCUUGUGACAAUCCUGACCUUCCCACUAAUUAAAAAUGAGAGCUCUGGAUUAGUGCGCACUAAAUUAUUUUAAGGAGGCUCAGCACACUUGGUGAAGAGGAAUUUAGGGCUGCAGUUUGAAUCAUGCCCUGUGUUAGCAUCACAUGUGCGACCAUCUGAGUUGUAGACCUGUCCAUUCAACUAAUCUCAUAUUGGCUGGCCUGAGAUUUAUUUUCAGACCAGAGGAACAACCAGGCCUGAUUAAUAAGUCCUCAAACAAAUAGAUACAGUCAGAUCUACUUAUCUCUGAUACUUCAUACAAACUCUCAUAUCUUCUCAUAUUGAUUUUCUCUGCAUCAGGAGAGACCAUCAAUCUACCUUCAAUUUAGGCCAAUUUCUGAGCACAGCUUUCAUUUGCAGCCAACUGUCAAGACUGGGCUUAAGUCGUGUGUUGUUUUUAUCAGUUAAGGAACAUCAAACCUGCUUAAAUAUCUCCUGUGUUUUCAUCUGCUGACAUUUCCAUCCCUCUCACUCUGAAUAUGUGCUGAUCCAUGCAGGUCAGUCCAGACCUUUUCCUCUAAUAGACACACAUUUAUCCUUGGAUAUUUGAACAGCACCAGAAUUUUUACCAGCCUUUUGAUCACUUAAAGAACCUGUAAGAAGUUUUUGAUGGGUUAUAAAACAGAUUGAGAUAAACAGUGACACCACUUUACGACUUAACGAUGCCAACAUGACCCUCAAUAAAACAAUGACCUAUUCUAAUCCUAACUUUUAAUGCCUGCAACCACUGUUAGGUGGGGGUAGGUGUCAAACAGCACAAUGAAAUGUGGUGUUUUUACUUUGUUCAUCAAAAAUAUUCAGAGUAAGUGACACUUUUCAUUAUUAAAAGAGAGCAUGUGAGAAAACUAAGGUCGCUUUCAAACCAGAGCUGUUUGGUCCGCUUUAAACGGACCAGAGUUCGUUUCCUCGGAUAGUCCGCUUCGUUUGGGCAGGUGUGAAAGCUCAUCCGAACUCUGGUGCGGACCAAACAAGCGAACUCUGGUCCGCCUGAAAACGUGGGUCUCGGAUCACUUGCAAGUGAACCCUGGUUCGGUGAAAGCUCACCGGACCAAACACAGGACCAAAUGUACGUAAUGACGCUAUACGCAGUGCAUCUUGGGUAGAGGAAGCACGGCAUCACUUGUUGCCAUAGCAACAAGUGCCUGCUGACAUUAGCAGUUGCUAGCUAGCUUAGCUCAAUUGUCUGAACAACAAUAACCCAUAAAUUUACAAUUUGGCAUAUUUAAACAAAAUCAGAUCACAACUACCAACAGUCACAGUCCUUUAACUCUGAGCUCAUAUAUUGUCAGGGAUUGAUCCUGUUAUUUUUCUAACUUUGACGAUCUAACAUGUGACAAGCUACGGUAGCAUUAAAGGAAUAGUUGCUAACAUUUACACAACACACACAACACAGUUUACUAACAUUGUAGCAUUCCAUAAAAUAAUGUGACGAAGCACAAUACAAGACGGCUAGUCCACUCCUGUUUGUAAUCGUGAGGUUACAUACCCCUCCUACUUUGUCCAAUCGACGAGCGCCCCUUUCAACCACGUGAUGCUGCUCGGAAGUUCGAUGCGCUUUAGAAAUCACAGUGUGAAAGCAGAACUGAAACAAGUGAUAAAUGCAACACUGUUGUGACUUUCAGCUCCCCAAUCAAACCGAGUCCGCUUGGUCAGGUGUGAAAGCGACCUAAGUCAUAGCUUUACAUCUGAGGCAAGCCUAAGCAUUAAUUUGGCUCUAAAUGUAACCAUGCUAGCAUACCUCAACCAUGCUUACAUGCAUGAUUUUAUAAUGUUAUUUAAAGCUUGCAGGUCCAAGCUUUCGGUCGUUUUAGAUAGAACAGCUCCAGGUUUCAGAAACAGUUGCUGGCUUUUAUUUCCCAAACUGUUGUCCAGAAAACUGAUCUGUGGUGCCAUUGUCUUUAGGAAGAGAAAAUAGCUGCGAAUGUCCUUCACAACAUUAACAAGAAACUUCCAGGGACAUAUUGACUCCAAAGUGCAGAUGAGAGGAAAAAGACAAGCGGUGAAACCAGGUAGGGGUGUCUUGGACAGGGCUACCAGGUGGGUCCAAAACCAUGGUCCUGAUAGGCCGGCACUAGCAGACAUCACUGUCUGUGUGUCUCAUAUUACGAAAUUUCACUGUAACAUUGUAUGUCUGUAUUUAGGUAUGGAUCAGCAUGAUAGGUCUCCUUUAUUGCUCACCUACUGAUCACUGAGUGUUCUACUGAGGAAAUUUCAGCAAAUUUCAGGUCUUCAAACUUUAGUUUAGCUCAGGGCACCUUGAUUUGGAUGUAAAAUUUUCACCUCUGUAAGAGACCUUUACAUGUAAACUUCUAUUGCACCUGGGUGAAACAGUUUUUAAUACAAACUAAAGAGUAAGUCUGGUCUCCGCCUCUUGUUGUUUUCCACAGGCCUUUGCAGAUGCAGUGAGGCAAAGAACAAGAGCAGAUGAAACAGCCAAGCUGUUGUGUGGAAAAUGUUUUCUGGCACCGGCGUCCGCUGCUCUCGUUUGAAUCUCUCGCAUUAUGAGGUAGUUACUGUAAGCCAGGGCCAUAAGUGAUCCCUAGAUGCACGCUGGCACAACACCACUCAGUCUGUUUGUAGCUUCUGGGUCCUCUAGCCUCAUUUGAACUACCUGCUUCAUUGCACUGUUUAUAUUAAAAUACACUGCUCUUAUCAUAAAGGGAUACAUCUAUUCUCUGGAGACAGGAGGCUCAUUAUUAUUUUGAAUCUAAUUGCAGAAAAUUAAAGGUGGUGGGGGAGACAGAAUGGCUUUUGCUCCAAACUGGUUCACACUGUGGUGAGGAACAUUUACAAUUUACAUUGUUACAGCUUCAUUUGGUAGAUACUUUCCCAUAGCGU